rnacentral:tRNA from 1 species
AAAUAAGAAGUAAAUAUUACAUUUAAUUUCGACUUAAAAAUUUGGUGACUUUAUCACCCUUAUUUA